GACAGAGGUCCCGAGCGUUAGGCGGAAUCACUGGGCUUAAAGCGUGUGUAGGCGGAUGCCUAAGUACCUUGUGAAAUCCCACGGCUCACCCGUGGAACUGCUGGGCAUACUGGCGAUCUUGGGCCAACUAGGGGCAGUCGGAACAAGCGGUGGAGCGGUGAAAUGCGUAGAUAUCGCUUGGAACGCCGAAGGUGAAAACAGACUGCUGGGGUUGCGCCGACGCUGAGACACGAAAGCCAGGGGAGCAAACGGG
rnacentral:rRNA from 1 species